UUUCUGUUCUGUUAUAGUUAUGGAUAACUCUUGUUACUCUGUUAAUUGUUAAAUAUGCAUUUUGGUCGAGUUCUUGUUGACGUAUUCUGCAAUGAGGAAUCACUCUGAUUUUGAACUUGCCUUAAGGUGUAUAAGGCCACCUUAGUGAAUUUUUAGUAUUUAUUUAAUUUUAUUUUAAAAAAUAGAGUAAAUUUGCAUGAUAUUGCUCGUGGCGUCGAAGUUCUUUAUAAAAAUAGUACUCCCUCCGAUCCAUAUUAAUUGACGCUGCUUUAGUACAACCAGGGAGUAUUAUGUAUUUCUGACUUGUCAAUAACCUGUUUGAUGCAACAAGUAACAUAGACAAGAUUUAUGUGUCACGCGAUCAUUCUAACAUACGCCAGAAUACUAGUUUAUGUGUCACACGAUCAUUCUAACAAACUAGGUAGGCAGUUUACGUCGUUUACCUUUCUCAUAUUUCCCGAGUCCCGUAUCUUGUUAUUAAACCUAAGAGUUAGCAGUACCUAACUGUGUAUGAAAGAAAAAGAAUCAGUAUGAUUUAGGGCCUCUUUAAUUCAAAGGAAUUUCAUAGGAAGUUUGGAGGAUUAUGCUUCUUCGGAAAUGUUCUUGAGAAUAUAUGAAUUUUUCCUAUAGACUGCUUUGCAUGCAAUUUCAAAGGAAAAUUUCCACCUAGUCCAACCUCAUGGAAAUUAUUCUUAUUUUCAGUGAAAACUAUGGCAAACACUAUGCCUACAUUCUGUGUUUUUCAUGUGGUGCAAUCAGACAACCUGUGCUACACUACAUAUUUCUGUGUUUUUACUUCAUGUGAAUUCAACAUGGCAUGGCAUCCAGUUUCUUCAUUUUUCUUAGUUUGAAAUCCUACAAAUCAGAGAGGCCCUAGCAAACGUCACGCAUUUGGUACAAAAGUAUUUUAAGUUUUUAAUUGAACUUUUAUUGUGUUAUUAUAGGAUUCAGAACAUGGUGAAAAUGAUGUGGGUACAAAGUCUAAAAAUUUAGGAUGGCUCCUUGACAAUAGCCCGGAAAUGCAAAAGUGAUUUAAUCGGGGUGGGGUACAUUACUUCCUUGCCGGCAAAGCUUUCUUCCAAAACAUUUCCAGCACCUACCGUCAAUAAGGCCCCAGUUUGGUGAGGGACUGCCAUUCAGGGAGCCUGUUUACACUGUGCUGUUGCUUCUGCUGCUACGAGACCUGCGAGUGCUGCAUGGAGUCCUUGUGCUGCUGCGGCUAAUUUUAGCUGCACAUUUCUGCUGUUGCAUGGAGAUCUGGCAGACUGGGCUGUACUGUGGAAACCCAUAUCGUUUCGCCUCGGUGAGAUGGUGAACAGGCAUAUGUGCUUGUUCGAAUAAAAACUGUAGUUACGUCUCUGUUGUCAUGUAUGUUGUUGGUCGCCAAAAAUAAGAGUAUGCUGUUGGUGUGUGUUUGCCUUUGACGAUUGUCAUGUUUAGUGCUGUCAUGUUUAUAGGGAGAUCCUCCGAUUUGUAUUGAACUUUCAUCUAUAUCUAUACUUUUAAACA